rnacentral:lncRNA from 10 species
GGUUUCACCAUGUUGGCCAGGAUGGUCUUGAUCUCCUGACCUCGUGAUCCGCCCGCCUCAGCCUCCCAAAGUGUUGGAAUUACAGGCGUGAGCCGCCACACCCGGCCCUAUUUUCUAUUUUGGUUAUUUCAGACUAGGAAUACAGAGACGCAGAAAACUACAGCUGUGCACUGAGACCACUGACACUUGGGAGUCACCGCACUCCAGGGACAAAAGGAUGGACACAUCCAGAGACACGGACACACCCACAAAUCAUCGCCCCCACUCUUCAGCCUCACAGCGGCCCCCUGGUCCCUCCAGAAUCUCUGUCAUCAGUCACCCCCAUACACAGAGCAUCGUCCAUCGUGGGUGGGGGCCCCGCCACAGAUGCCACUCCCCAGACCCAGAAGAUGACCGCAAGCUGCUGCAACGCGGGGCAGGGGUUCAGGAUGUCCGUAAUCUCCCGCCUCGCCCUGUCUGAGUCCCCUUUUCUGUCGCCUGGAAAAACCACAGCAGCCGCCCUCGCAGAAGUAGGGAAGUUCGCCCGUGCUACAGCGGCGUCCGCAAUC